CUGGGGAGUACGGUCGCAAGAUUAAAACUCAAAUGAAUUGACGGGGGCCCGCACAAGCGGUGGAGCAUGUGGUUUAAUUCGAUGCAACGCGAAGAACCUUACCUACUCUUGACAUCCAGAGAAUCUAGCGGAGACGCUGGAGUGCCUUCGGGAACUCUGAGACAGGUGCUGCAUGGCUGUCGUCAGCUCGUGUUGUGAAAUGUUGGGUUAAGUCCCGCAACGAGCGCAACCCUUAUCCUUGUUUGCCAGCGAGUAAUGUCGGGAACUCCAGGGAGACUGCCGGUGAUAAACCGGAGGAAGGUGGGGACGACGUCAAGUCAUCAUGGCCCUUACGAGUAGGGCUACACACGUGCUACAAUGGCGCAUACAGAGGGCUGCCAACUUGCGAAAGUGAGCGAUCCCAAAAAGUGCGUCGUAGUCCGGAUUGGAGUCUGCAACUCGACUCCAUGAAGUCGGAAUCGCUAGUAAUCGUGGAUCAGAAUGCCACGGUGAAUACGUUCCCGGGCCUUGUACACACCGCCCGUCACACCAUGGGAGUGGGCUGCAAAAGAAGUGGGUAGUUUAACCUUCGGGAGGACGCUCACCACUUUGUGGUUCAUGACUGGGGUGAAGUCGUAACAAGGUAGCGCUAGGGGAACCUGGCGCUGGAUCACCUCCUUAUACGAUGAU
rnacentral:rRNA from 1 species